rnacentral:lncRNA from 1 species
AUGAGAGAGCUCUGUUCCUCCACGUGUCCUCGGAGCCUGCCAGCCUCGAGUGGAGCGAUGCUCUUCAGCACGUCGGGCUCAUUGUCUGUCUGCGCUUCUGCCUUCCAUCAGUGCCGUGUCAGCAGCAUGCUGAGAUGCCGGAAUGACGGCUGCAUGGUCUCUCACAAGUUUUGCCUGGUCACUGAAAUGCACACCGCCAAUCUUUUAGGAAGGCGGCCCAAGGUCAGCAGGAGAAAAACCGAACAAGACCCUACAGCGCGCUCCAUCGAGAGGAAGAGACACCCUGGAAUGGAUCGGAAGGGAGCCACAGCGAGACCCCGUAUGGUGCGUGAAGUCCUGGAAGAGCUGCCAAUCC